GGGUUGUGAGGUUAAGCGACUAAGCGUACACGGUGGAUGCCCUGGCAGUCAGAGGCGAUGAAGGACGUGCUAAUCUGCGAUAAGCGUCGGUAAGGUGAUAUGAACCGUUAUAACCGGCGAUUUCCGAAUGGGGAAACCCAGUGUGAUUCGUCACACUAUCAUUAACUGAAUCCAUAGGUUAAUGAGGCGAACCGGGGGAACUGAAACAUCUAAGUACCCCGAGGAAAAGAAAUCAACCGAGAUUCCCCCAGUAGCGGCGAGCGAACGGGGAGGAGCCCAGAGCCUGAAUCAGUGUGUGUGUUAGUGGAAGCGUCUGGAAAGGCGCGCGAUACAGGGUGACAGCCCCGUACACAAAAAUGCACAUACUGUGAGCUCGAUGAGUAGGGCGGGACACGUGGUAUCCUGUCUGAAUAUGGGGGGACCAUCCUCCAAGGCUAAAUACUCCUGACUGACCGAUAGUGAACCAGUACCGUGAGGGAAAGGCGAAAAGAACCCCGGCGAGGGGAGUGAAAAAGAACCUGAAACCGUGUACGUACAAGCAGUGGGAGCCUCUUUUAUGGGGUGACUGCGUACCUUUUGUAUAAUGGGUCAGCGACUUAUAUUCUGUAGCAAGGUUAACCGAAUAGGGGAGCCGAAGGGAAACCGAGUCUUAACCGGGCGUUAAGUUGCAGGGUAUAGACCCGAAACCCGGUGAUCUAGCCAUGGGCAGGUUGAAGGUUGGGUAACACUAACUGGAGGACCGAACCGACUAAUGUUGAAAAAUUAGCGGAUGACUUGUGGCUGGGGGUGAAAGGCCAAUCAAACCGGGAGAUAGCUGGUUCUCCCCGAAAGCUAUUUAGGUAGCGCCUCGUGAAUUCAUCUCCGGGGGUAGAGCACUGUUUCGGCAAGGGGGUCAUCCCGACUUACCAACCCGAUGCAAACUGCGAAUACCGGAGAAUGUUAUCACGGGAGACACACGGCGGGUGCUAACGUCCGUCGUGAAGAGGGAAACAACCCAGACCGCCAGCUAAGGUCCCAAAGUCAUGGUUAAGUGGGAAACGAUGUGGGAAGGCCCAGACAGCCAGGAUGUUGGCUUAGAAGCAGCCAUCAUUUAAAGAAAGCGUAAUAGCUCACUGGUCGAGUCGGCCUGCGCGGAAGAUGUAACGGGGCUAAACCAUGCACCGAAGCUGCGGCAGCGACACUGUGUGUUGUUGGGUAGGGGAGCGUUCUGUAAGCCUGUGAAGGUGUACUGUGAGGUAUGCUGGAGGUAUCAGAAGUGCGAAUGCUGACAUAAGUAACGAUAAAGCGGGUGAAAAGCCCGCUCGCCGGAAGACCAAGGGUUCCUGUCCAACGUUAAUCGGGGCAGGGUGAGUCGACCCCUAAGGCGAGGCCGAAAGGCGUAGUCGAUGGGAAACAGGUUAAUAUUCCUGUACUUGGUGUUACUGCGAAGGGGGACGGAGAAGGCUAUGUUGGCCGGGCGACGGUUGUCCCGGUUUAAGCGUGUAGGCUGGUUUUCCAGGCAAAUCCGGAAAAUCAAGGCUGAGGCGUGAUGACGAGGCACUACGGUGCUGAAGCAACAAAUGCCCUGCUUCCAGGAAAAGCCUCUAAGCAUCAGGUAACAUCAAAUCGUACCCCAAACCGACACAGGUGGUCAGGUAGAGAAUACCAAGGCGCUUGAGAGAACUCGGGUGAAGGAACUAGGCAAAAUGGUGCCGUAACUUCGGGAGAAGGCACGCUGAUAUGUAGGUGAAGUCCCUCGCGGAUGGAGCUGAAAUCAGUCGAAGAUACCAGCUGGCUGCAACUGUUUAUUAAAAACACAGCACUGUGCAAACACGAAAGUGGACGUAUACGGUGUGACGCCUGCCCGGUGCCGGAAGGUUAAUUGAUGGGGUCAGCGCAAGCGAAGCUCUUGAUCGAAGCCCCGGUAAACGGCGGCCGUAACUAUAACGGUCCUAAGGUAGCGAAAUUCCUUGUCGGGUAAGUUCCGACCUGCACGAAUGGCGUAAUGAUGGCCAGGCUGUCUCCACCCGAGACUCAGUGAAAUUGAACUCGCUGUGAAGAUGCAGUGUACCCGCGGCAAGACGGAAAGACCCCGUGAACCUUUACUAUAGCUUGACACUGAACAUUGAGCCUUGAUGUGUAGGAUAGGUGGGAGGCUUUGAAGUGUGGACGCCAGUCUGCAUGGAGCCGACCUUGAAAUACCACCCUUUAAUGUUUGAUGUUCUAACGUGGACCCGUGAUCCGGGUUGCGGACAGUGUCUGGUGGGUAGUUUGACUGGGGCGGUCUCCUCCUAAAGAGUAACGGAGGAGCACGAAGGUUGGCUAAUCCUGGUCGGACAUCAGGAGGUUAGUGCAAUGGCAUAAGCCAGCUUGACUGCGAGCGUGACGGCGCGAGCAGGUGCGAAAGCAGGUCAUAGUGAUCCGGUGGUUCUGAAUGGAAGGGCCAUCGCUCAACGGAUAAAAGGUACUCCGGGGAUAACAGGCUGAUACCGCCCAAGAGUUCAUAUCGACGGCGGUGUUUGGCACCUCGAUGUCGGCUCAUCACAUCCUGGGGCUGAAGUAGGUCCCAAGGGUAUGGCUGUUCGCCAUUUAAAGUGGUACGCGAGCUGGGUUUAGAACGUCGUGAGACAGUUCGGUCCCUAUCUGCCGUGGGCGCUGGAGAACUGAGGGGGGCUGCUCCUAGUACGAGAGGACCGGAGUGGACGCAUCACUGGUGUUCGGGUUGUCAUGCCAAUGGCACUGCCCGGUAGCUAAAUGCGGAAGAGAUAAGUGCUGAAAGCAUCUAAGCACGAAACUUGCCCCGAGAUGAGUUCUCCCUGACCCUUUAAGGGUCCUGAAGGAACGUUGAAGACGACGACGUUGAUAGGCCGGGUGUGUAAGCGCAGCGAUGCGUUGAGCUAACCGGUACUAAUGAACCGUGAGGCUUAACCUUACAACGCCGAAGGUGUUU
rnacentral:rRNA from 1 species